AAUUCCAAAGGCUAAGGAAAGCAUUGCGCAUGCGGGAAACCCACGCUGAGGGAAGAAUCAUGGGAAAGAGUAGAGACGGGGUUCCACCGUGUUAGCCAGGAUGGUCUCGAUUUCCUGACCUCGUCAUCCUCCCGCCUUGGCCUCCCAAAGUGCUGGGAUUACAGGCUUGAGCCACCGCGCCCCGCUCUUUCGUGUUCCAAAGGCUUUUUAAAUAAACUUCCACUCCUGUCCUGGAUUCUGCUUUAUGGCCCUCAGUCGAAUUCUUUCUUCUGAGGAGGCAAGGACUGAAGUUGCUUCUGACCAGUACAGGAGAAAACGAAUACAGCAGGGAUGACUUCCACCAGCUCCACUUUGCAGCUCUGAGGUGUAUUAAAAAUAAACCUAGAGCCCCACCAAAUGAAUCCGCUGGCACGUGGACCUCAGAUGGGGGAAACUGAGGACUGAAUUCUGACCACCCUCCUUUGUUCUAAAUUUCUUCCUGAAGGACCUGGAAGAAGUCAUGCCACGGGCCAGACCUUAACAUUCCUUUCGGCUUACCCCAGGAUUUCAGACAAAGCUUCACUUUCCUAACCAGUCACAAAUCAGAGAAUUUUUGAUUCCACCUAUGACCUGUGAGCUCCUGCUUCAAGAUAUUCCACCUUUUUUAGGCCAAACCAAUGUAUAACCUCCAAGUGUCGAUUUACACUUUCGACUGUAACUUCUGCUUUCCUGAGAUUUACCCCUGCCUUUAAAAACCCUUGCUUGUAAUCCCUCAGGGAGGCCGUGUAUUUAUUAAUCAUGAGCUGCCCAAUUCUCCUUGCUUGGUGCCCUGCAAAUAAACACCCUCUUUUCUCCCACUGCAAAACCUCAGUGUGGAUGUUUGGCUUUACUUCACCCCCAGGAAAGCAGACCCAGGUUUGACUCAGCAACAACAUCUGUUUCUAUUUUUCUCUGUAUAAAUAUUAAAAACCAUAAGUACAUGCUAUCUCCAAUUCCAAUAUAAACCCAUAGGGCUCAUUCUGGCCUUCCCAUUUUCUUAUGUGUAAUUCAUUUCUCUGAAAAUGAGAAUUCGAGUACUCAGAUAUUUACUUACCUACUCAAUCCUAGAAUAGAAAUAAAAUAAUUCAACAUAA
rnacentral:lncRNA from 1 species